AUGUUGUGCAGCCAUGUUUUGAGGGUCAUGGAGAUACUACAUGUGGAGGGGAUCCCUUCUAAGCAUAUAUUGAAGCGGUGGACCAAAGACGCGAGGGACAUACUUCCAAAAGAUGUGGUUCAGUACCAGAGAGAUAAUUCAGUUAACAUGUCGUUGACAUGUAGGCACUCGACCCUUUACUUGAGAGCAAUGGAGGUAGUGCGGCUGGGUGACUCUAGUGCAGAAGCAUUCGAUCACAUAUUAGACGGGUUUGAAGCUCUUUUGGUGAGUGGAGCACCUUUCGGAAAGCGAAGGGAUGGUAUGGGUUUUGUGGACCGCAUGGGUGAAUUAGCUCCCGGUACUUUGCCUGGCAAUGGAGAGAUUCCAUAUGUUGGCGGCGAGUGUGUUGACAAAUGCAUCAGUGCUGGAAACUCUGGGAGUGUCAAUGCUCUCCUUGGCUUCAUAGCUCCAGAAAAGAAAAGGGGGGUCAGUAGACCAACGAAUAGCAGGGAGAACGCACCAUACGAGUGUCUGAGUAAGCGCACAAGAUUCUGCAGCAUAUGA
rnacentral:rRNA from 1 species